UACGUAGGGGCCGAGCGUUGUCCGGAGUUAUUGGGCGUAAAGCGCGCGCAGGCGGCUUCGCGCGUCCGACGUGAAAGCCCCCGGCUUAACCGGGGAGGGUCGUUUGGGUACGGCGGAGCUUGAGGGCGGGAGAGGGUGGUGGAAUUCCCGGUGUAGUGGUGAAAUGCGUAGAGAUCGGGAGGAACACCUGUGGCGAAGGCGGCCACCUGGGCCGACCCUGACGCUGAGGCGCGAAGGCGUGGGGAGCGAACGGG
rnacentral:rRNA from 1 species